rnacentral:rRNA from 1 species
UACGUAGGGUGCAAGCGUUGUCCGGAAUUAUUGGGCGUAAAGAGCUCGUAGGCGGUCUGUCGCGUCUGCUGUGAAAACUCGGGGCUUAACCCCGGGCCUGCAGUGGGUACGGGCAGACUAGAGUGCGGUAGGGGAGACUGGAAUUCCUGGUGUAGCGGUGAAAUGCGCAGAUAUCAGGAGGAACACCGGUGGCGAAGGCGGGUCUCUGGGCCGUAACUGACGCUGAGGAGCGAAAGCCAGGGGAGCGAACAGG